AGAAGCAGAAUGUGAUGUGGGAGGCAAGGCAAGGCUGCUUAGAUUCUGAGCAGAUAUCUGCCCCAGAAUGAAUUCCAACAUCGUGGAGGCAAAGCCAAGAGCCAAAGAAAAGAUGAAGAACUUUCUAAAUCCUUGCCGUAAAGGAAAGCUAAAAAUGACUGCAGCUCCUUAUAUAUGUCAAGAUUUUGUGCCAGGUUUGCUUAAAGGGAAGCCAAAGAUAAUAGGGGUUCUCCAGAUCCUGAUAGGUCUAAUCAUCACUUCGUUUGGAGCCUUAUUAUUUUCCAACACCAACAAAGUUGGCCUUCCAAAGUCAAGUAUUCCUCAUUUCUUUAUCACGAAGUAUCCAUUCUGGACAGGAGCAUGUUACACCAUUACAGGAGUCUUUACCAUUCUUAAUGGUGUGAAAUGUGAAAGUCAGGACCACGUGAGCCUUUACAUGGACAUUCUGAGUGCCAUGGUCUCUGCAUCUGGGAUCGGCAUCCUCUUCUACAGCUUAUCUGUCCACCGGCUUCUUCAAUGUGUUCGCCCUUCAGCAAACAGCAUGUGUAUCAUGAGUGAAAUCCUUCUUCGUGGUAUUCUCUCUGUCUUGCUGAUCCUCACCAUCAUCCAAUUCUCCAUCGCUGCAGUAGUCUUAGCCUUGAAGCGUAAAAGAACAGGGAAAAGCCCUACAGAUGAGGCUUGUUCAACAUCACUGAGAGAGCCAAGACAGGUUGUGACAUCUUGGAAGAAUGCGUAUUUCCAGUCUUCGGAAGUCAAGGAGCCCAAUCAAAAGGAGAAUAUGGAAAACCACUUGCGGAUCCAAACUGAGAAAAAUCCUUCUGACAAAAAUGAGGAAAACAAAUCAGUCUCCUUAAUGACAGGCUACACUUUCUUUAAACUAAGAUCUUUAGGAAGUCCUGUAACCCACCCACCUCCUUCCUCUUCCCCUCCUCCCUCUCCCCCUCCUCCCCCCCCUCUCCCUCCUCAUUCACCUCCUCCUCCACUGCCUUCCCCAAAAGUACCAGAAGAAAUGAUUCCAUUUUCUCUUUCAAUACAAAAUCCACAGUGCAAUACUCCAACUUCCUCAAGUGAAUCCAUGGAAGUUUCAUAUUUCUCUGUCCCAAGGUCAUCAAGUACAUUGCCACAAGGAUCAUCUUCCUUAGAACCAUUUUUAGUAGACAAAUCUGUACAAGUUUCCUCAUAUUCAGAUCUAAGUUCAGGGGGAGAAGUGACAGAAUUUCCUUCAUCUUCCAGCACGAGUUCAUUUAGAGAAUCCACAAAAUGUAUGUCUACCUCCAGCUCAGAAGAUCCCAUUGCUUCCAAAAUAGCAGCAAUGAGCAUAUCUGUGCAAUUUCCUUCUAUCUCAGGCAUAGCCACACCAACAGACGGCACAGAAAAUCAAUCCACAGAAGAUGCCAUACCUUCAGACCUCUUUGCACCAACCAAAUCUAUACAAUUUCCCUCUGUCUCAUACUCAGCUACAUCAACAGAAGCAACAGAAAGUCAAUCCAUGGAAGAUGCCACACUUUCAGACCUCCUUGCACUGACCAAAUCUGUGCAAUUUCCUUCUGUCUCAUGCACGACUGCACCAACAGUCAUAGAUGCCACACCUUCAGACCUCUUAGUAUUGACCAAAUCUGUGCAAUUUCCUUCUGUCUCAUGCACGACUACAUCAACAGAAGUCACAGGAAAUCCUCCUCCAUCCAAUUUCAAUUCUGUGACUCAAUCAAUGGAAGAUGCCACACCUUUUGGCUUACUUGACCUGACAACAUCUGUGCAAUCCCCAUGUUCCUCUGACCUGAUUACACCAGUGGAAGUUACACAAAAUCCUCCACCAUUCAAUUUCAAUUCACUGACUCAACCUAUGGAAGAUGCCACAUCUUUUGACUUACUUGACCUGACUACAUCUGUGCAAUCUCCAUCUUCCUCUGUCCCAGCUACAUCAAGAGAAAUCACAGAAAAUCCUCCUCCAUCCAAUUUAAGUUCAUUGACUCAUUACACUGAAAUUGCUUUAGUCACAUUCGACCAGAGCCUAUCUGUGAAACCCCCACAUUCCUCUAACCUGACUACACCAGUGAAAGUUACACAAAAUCCUCCACCAUCCAAUCUCAGUUCAGUGACUCAACAUAUGGAAUAUGCCACACCUUUUAGCUUACUUAACCAGACCGCAUCUGUGCAAUCUCCAUCUUCCUCUGUCCCAGCUACACAAAGGAAAAUCACAAAAAAAUCUCCUUUAUCCAAUUUAAGCUCACUGACUCCUUCGACUGAAGCUGCUUUACUCUUACUUGAGGAGAUGCUAUUUGGGCAAUCCCCACAUUCCUCUGACUUGACUACACCAGGGGAAGUUACAGAAAAUCGUCCUCCAUCCAACUUCAAUUUAGUGACUGAACCUAUGGAACGUGCCACAUCUUUUGACUUACUUAACCUGACCACAUCUGUGCAAUCUCCAUCUUCCUCUGUUCCAACUACACCAAGGGAAAUCACAGAAAAUCCUCCUCUAUCCAAUUUAAGUUCAUUGACUCAAUCUAUGGAAGAUGCCACAUCUUUAGGCCCACUUUUUCUAACCAAAUCUGGGCAAUUUUCUUCAAUCUCAAGCAUGGCUACCUCAACAGAAGUACCAGGAACUCCUCCUCCAUCCACUCUAAGUUUCACGACUCAAUCUAUGGAGGAUGCCAUACCUUUGAGCCCACUUUUGCUGACCAAAUCUGUGCAAUUUCCUUCUAUCUCAGGUCCAGCUAUCUCAACAGAAGUCUCAGGAAAUCCUCCUCCAUCUAAUUUAAGUUCAAUGAUCCAAUCUAUGGAAGAAGCAAUGCCUUCAGGCCCACUUGCCCUGACCAAAUCUCUGCAAUUUCCCUCUUUCUCAGGCCCCAAUGCACCAAUAGCUGUCACUGAACUUCCUUCUUUCUCUGCACUAAGCUCAUCAAGGGAAUCCACAAAGGUUCCUUAUGUUGACAGAUUUUUUUCAAAUAAAGCUAUUCAAAUUCCCUCUAAAUGUGAAAUAAUUUUAGUGAAUGACUCUGGAGAAGUCCUGUCUGCCUUCAGUCCAAGUCAAUCAGGAGAAUUUAUACAAGAUUCAACUGCAUCUAGAACAAUUACAGGAAGCAAAUCAGUGCAAGUUCCUUCUUCUGCUGGUAUAAUUUCUUCAAGUAAAUCUAUGACAUUUUCGUCGUUCUCCAAUGGAAUUCCAAUGACAAAAUCCACACAAGUUCCUUCAUUUUUUGACUCAACAUCAAGUGAACGUGAAGAAGUUCAAUCUUUCUCAGUUCCACCUUCAUCAGACAAAUCCAUACAAGUUCCUGAUUUCUCUGAUACAAGAUCAUCAGAAGAAAACAUACACUUUCUUUCAACCUACCAUGCUAUUGCCACAAACAAACUGAUACAAGUUCCUUCCUUCUCUGAUGUGAAUUCACCUACUGAAUGCAAAGAAGUUAUAUCUUUUCCGGGUCCAUUUUCAUCAAGAGAAUCUACACAAUGUCCCUCAGAUUUUGUUGCUAUUUCAGGCAUCAAGUCUAUUAAGUUUACUUCAUUUUCUGAUCUAAGUUCAUCAGAUACAGGCAAACAAGCACUACCACCUUUCCAAGUCCCAGUUUCAUCAAAAGAAUCUAGAAAUGUUUCUUUCUCUGAAACUAAUUCACCAACAGAAGCUGCAAAAGUUCCCCUACUUGUGAUGCCCUUAUAGUUGCCAAGUCCACACAAAUUCCUUUUAUUUCUGACUUACGUUCAUCAACAACAGGAACAGAAAAAGUUAUGUCUUUCACAGGUCCACUCGUAUCAAAGAAAUCAUUAGAACUUAACUCAACUUUUGCUGCUAUUUCACUCAGCAAGCAGACACAAAUUCCUUCCAUCUCUGACCCAAGUUCAUUCAAUGUGAAGAUGGAAAACCUUCCAUCUUUCUUGCUUACAAUUUGCCCAAUAGAAUCCAGGCAGUUUUCUGAUUUCUCUGACUCAUGUUUACUAAGAGGAGAUAUACAAAUGCCUUCCAUCCAUAGCCCUAUUUCAGUGAGCAAAUGCAUACAACUUUCUCACUCCUCUGAUAAUAGUUUGCCAACAGAAACUUUACAAGUUCCCUCUACCCACCUUGCUAUCAGAGUGAGCAGAUCAACACAACCGACUUCCUUCUUUGAUGUGUGUUCAUCAAAUGUAUGCAGAGAAAAAGUUCUUUCAUCCCCAGGGCCACUGAAAUCAAGGGAAUCCAUCCAACAUCCCUCAAAUCUUGGUGUUAUUUCAAUCAACAAAUUUACCCAACUUUCUUCUCCCUCUGCCCCAAGUUCAUUGAAAAUGAAGACAAAAGAAUCUUUCUUGCUUCCACUUUGUCCAAUACAAUCCAAGCAGUUUUCUGAUUUCUCUGAUACAAGUUUACCAAGAGAAAACAUCCAAAUUCCCUCUAUCCUUGGACCUAUUUCAGUGAUCAAAUGCAUACAAUUUUUUCACUCCUCUGACAAAAGUCUGCCAGUAGAAACUUUACAAGUUCCCACCACCCACCUUGCUAUCACAGAGAGCAAACCACCACAACCUGUUUCCUUGCUUGAUGCAAAUUCAUCAGCUGUAGGCAUAGAACAAGCUAUGACUUUGCCAGGUCCACUGAAAUCAAGAGAAUCCGUCCAACAAGCCUCAAACCUUGGUCUUAUUUCAGCCAACAAGUCUGCCCCGUUUCUUUCUUCCUCUGUCCCAAGUUCACUGAACGUAAAUACAGAAGUUCCAUCUUUCUUGCUUCCAUUUCGUCCAACAGAAUCCAGGCAGUUUACUGAUUUCUCUGACGCAAGUCUACCAAAGGAAGACACACAAAGCUCUUCUAUCCUUGGACUUAUUUCAGUGAGCAAAUGCACACAAUCGUCUCACUCCUCUGACAAAAGUUUACCAAGAGAAACUUUACAAGAUCCCCCCACCGACCUGGCUGUCACAGAGAGCAAAUCAACACAAUCCACUUCCUUGUUUGAUGCAAGUUCAUCAGCUGUAGGCAUAGAACAAGCAAUGUCUUUGCCAGGUCCACUGAAAUCAAGGGAAUCCACUGAAUAUCCCUCAAACGUUGGUGUGACUUCAGUCAACAAGUCCACCCAAUUUCCUAUUCCCUCUGUUCCAAGUUCACUGAAUGUGAACAAAGAAGAAGCCCCGCCUUUCUUGCCUCCAUUGUGUCCAACAGAAUCCAGGCAGUUUUCUGAUUCAUCUGACACAAGUCUACCAAGAGAAGAUACACAAAAUCCUUCUAUCCUUGAACCUAUUUCAGUGAGCAAAGACGCACAAUCGUCUCACUCCUCUGACAAAGUUUUGCCAACAGAAACUUCACAAGUUCCUCUAUCCACCUCAAUGUCACAGAGAGCAAAUCAACACAAUCCAUUUAUUUCUUUGAUGCAAGUUUAUCAGCUGUAGACACAGAAGUCAUUUCUUUUCUGGAUCCACUGAAAUCAAAGGAAUCCAUUCAACAUCUCUCCAGCCUUGGUCGUAUUUCAGUCAACAAGUCCACCCAAUUUCCUCUUCCCUCUGUUCCAAGUUCACUGAAUGUGAAAACAGAAGAAGUUCCACCUUUCUUGCUUCCAUUUUGUCCAACAGAAUCCAGGCAGUUUUCUGAUUUCUCUGACACAAGUCUACCAGAUGAAGACACACAAAGUCCUUCUAUCCUUGGACCUAUUUCAGUGAGCAAAUUCACACAAUCAUCUCACUCCUCUGAUAAAAGUAUACCAAGAGAAGCUUCACAAGUUCCCUCUACCCACCUGACUGUCACAGAGAGCGAACCAAUACAGCCUAUUUCCUUGUUUGAUGUAAGUUCAUCCACCAUAGACAUAGAAGAAAUUAUGUCUUUCCGGAGUCCACUGAAAUCAAGGGAAUCCAUCCAAUAUCCCUCCAACCUUGGUCUUAUUUCAGUCAAGUCACCACAGUUUCCUCCUUCUUCUGUUCCACGUUCAUUGACUUUGAAAACAGAAGAAGUUCCACCUUUAUUGCUUCCAGUUUCUCCAACAGAAUCCAGGGAAUCUUCUGAUUUGCCUGACACAGGUCUACCAAAAGAAGACACACAAAGUCCUUCUAUCCUUGGACCUAUUUCAGUGAGCAAAUUCACACAAUUAUCUCACUCCUCUGAUAAAAGUGUACCAAGAGAAGCUUCACAAGUUCCCUCUACCCACCUGACUGUCACAGAGAGCGAACCAAUACAGCCUAUUUCCUUGUUUGAUAUAAGCUCAUCCACUGUAGGCAUAGAAGAAAUUAUGUCUUUCCGAAGUCCAUUGAAAUCAGGGGAAUCCAUCCAAUAUCCCUCCAACCUUGGUCUUAUUUUAGUCAACAAGUCCAUCCAAUUUCCUUCUUCCUCUGCUCCAAGUUCAUUGACCAUGAAAACAGAAGAAGUUCCAUAUUUCUUGCCUCCAUUUUGUCCAAAAGAAUCCAGGCAGUUUUCUGAUUUACUUGACACAAGUCUACCAAAAGAAGACACACAAAGUCCUUCUAUCCUUGGACCUGUGUCAGUGAGCAAAUGCACACAAGCGUCUCACUCCUCUGAUGAAAGUUUGCCAACAGAAACUUUACAAGUUCCCUCCACCCACAUGGCUGUCACAGAGAGCAAAUCAACACAACCGACUUCCUUGUCUGAUGCAAGUCCACCAGAUGUAGGCAUAGAAGAAGUUCAGUCUUUCCCAGGUCCACUGAAAUCAAGGGAAUCCAUCAAACAUCCCUCCAACCUUGGUCUUAUUUCAGUCAACAAGUCCACCCAAUUUCCUUCUUCCUCUGUCCUAAAUUUAUUGAAUGUGAACGCAGAAGAAUUUCCAUCUGUCUUGCUUCCAUUUUGUCCAACAGAAUCCAGGCAGUUUUCUGAUUUGCCUGACACAGGUCUACCAAAAGAAGACACACGAAGCCCUUCUAUCCUUGGACCUGUGCCGAUUACCCAGAGGAGUUCUACAAGUCUCUCUACUUACUCUGCUAUUUCUGUGAGCAAGCCCAUACGAGAACUUCACCUUUUGCCUGAAUGAAGUUCAAGUUCAUGCAAAAUAGAAUUUCCUUCUUUCCCAACUUCAGGUUCAUCAAGGGAAUCUAUACAAAUUCCUGAUGCUUCCAUUACAAGUUUUGCUAAGAAAACUGGUUGACGAUCCCUCUACUUCUAGCACUGUUCCAGCAGGCAAAUCUGUGCAGGUCACUACUUUUGCCGAACCGUAUACAUUCAGCAGAUCUAUCCACACUCCCCCUUUUUCUGGCCUAAGUUACGUGACAAAAUGGACACAAGUUCUUUCUUUCUCUGACCUAUGUUCAUCAAGCAAACGUGCAGAAGUUCUGCCUUUCUCAGGUCCAGUUUCCUCAAGGGAAUUCAAUUAACUUCCUGAUUUCAGCGAAGAAAGUUCACGAAGGGAACUCAUACAAAUUCUUUCUCCUUCUCCUCCUAGAUUACAUACAUCCAACAGAUUUCAACAAACUCCAUCUUCCUCUGGCCUUUCAGUGAACAGAUCUACAAGUUUCUUCUUUCUCUGACCCAAGUUCAACAAGCAAAUGCAAAGAAUGUCUGUCCAUUUCAAGCACUUUCAUCAAAAGAAUCCAUACAUCCAAAGGUUCCAGAACUCUCUGACCCAAGUUCACCAACAGAAUCUUUAAAAUUACCCUCCACCUCUGGCACUGUUUUACAAGGUAAAUCUCUGCAAGUUCCUUAUUCUUCUGAUCUGCAUGUCAAGAGGGCCUGUCCAAUUUCCCUCUUUCUCUAACCUAAUAUCAGCUAGCCAAUCUAUACAAGUCUCUUCCUUCUUUGCCUCAAGUUCAUCAAGUAAGCAUAUAUAAUUUUCAUCUUCCUUAGGCCAGGUUCAAGAGAAUCCUUAUGAAUUCCUUCUAUCCCCAGCUCAAGUUCACCAAGAGAAACCACACUAACUCUCUCCAACUUUAAUCUCAAUUUCAGAGAGCAAAUGCAUACAAAAUGUUUUUUCCUUCUCUUACUCAAGUACACCAAGUGAAUCUAUAGCAUUUCUAUCUUCCUUAGGACCAGGCUGAAGAGAAUCUCCACAAAUUCUUCUUAUCUCCAGCUUAAUUUCAACAAGAGAACUUGCACUGAUUCCCUAUGAUUCCAAACAAAUUUCAGACAACAAAUCUGUGCAAGUUCCUUAUUCCUAUAAUCUAUGUACAUUAAUUUCCCUCUUUCUCUGCACUAUUUUUGUGAGCAGAUCCAUACAAGUAUCUCCCUUUUCUGACCCAAUUUUAUCCAAGCGAACAUAAAAAGUCCAUCUUCCUUAGGGCCAGUAUCAAGAAAAUCCAUAAAAAUUCCUUCCAUCUCCAGUUCAAGUCCACCAAGAAAAUCCUGGCCAGAUUCCUCUGACUGCAAUACAAUUUCAGACAGCAAAUCUACAAAAGAUUUUUUUAUUUUCUCAUCCAAGAUCAUCAACAAAUCACACAGAAUGUCCAUCUUCCUUAAAGCCAGUAUCGAGAGAGUCCAUGCAAAGUCCUGCCUGCAGCUCAAGUUCACAGAGAAUCUAUGCCAAUUCCUUCAAAAGUUAACAUUAUGAAGGGGACAAAUCUGCUCCAGUUCCGUCUUCUGCUACUCUAAGUUCAAAAAGCAAAUCCAUCCAAAUUUCAUCUUCUGCUGGCUUCAUUUCAACAAAAAGCCAUAUGCAAACUUCUUUGUCUGGCCAAAGUCCAUCCAGUUAUUCUGUGAUAGCUAGCAGCCACUCAGGAAAAAAAGACUCCUUCUAAGUUUCUUCUUCCCCAGUCUCAAGUUUACCAAGAAAAUCCAUAUAAGCAUCUGCUUUCUCCAGAUCAAGUUCAACAAAAGAAUCCACAGAAUUUCCAUCUUUCCCCAGGCCAUUUUCAGGGAGCACAUUCCUGCCAAUUCCUUCUUUCUCUAGCCCCAGUCUACCUUGUAGAUCCAGGGAAGUUCUAUUCCACAAGCCUGUAUGAAAGAAAAGAAUCCACCGAUUUUCUCCAGGCCAAGUCCAACAACAAUAACAACAACAACAACAAAAAUCUCUUCAAGCCCUGACCCUCUCCUGUCCAAACUCAAAGAAUGCAUUCUAGUUGUCCAUUUUUCCAAACCCAGCUGAAUGAAGGAAACCAUUCCCCAGGAAAGGACUGCCCUCACAUUUCUCCCUCAUGUAAUCCUUUCUUCCAGGCCACUUCCAAAAGAUAUACCCUAAUCCUCCCAACUAGAAAUGCUUCCCCCCUCCUCCUCAAAUCUCUAACAUUCUUUUGGGACAUCAUCUACAAAUCUGCCAUAUCCUCUUUGAUUUACAGUUACUUGUAAGGAUAAUAAAUAUUAAGUUGAAUUGACCAUCAAAGCAAGGUAACAAACAGUAACAUAGCUGGAGAUAUUGACUCAUAAUGAAGGCCUGAGAUUUUUUUUCACCCAGCAAGUCACUCAGCAAGACUGCAAGUUGGUGGCAGUGGGGGAAAGGAAGAGAAGUGCAGUCUUCCUACACCAUGAAUCAGAUACAUGUGGUACAAAAUCAGUUAUCACUGAUGGCUUAUAGCUCAAUAAAAACUGAGG